GACGAACGCUGGCGGCGUGCCUAAUACAUGCAAGUAGAACGCACAGUUUAUACCGUAGCUUGCUACACCAUAGACUGUGAGUUACGAACGGGUGAGUAACGCGUAGGUAACCUGCCUGGUAGCGGGGGAUAACUAUUGGAAACGAUAGCUAAUACCGCAUAAUAUUAAUUAUUGCAUGAUAAUUAAUUGAAAGGUGCAAUUGCACCACUACCAGAUGGACCUGCGUUGUAUUAGCUAGUAGGUGAGGUAACGGCUCACCUAGGCGACGAUACAUAGCCGACCUGAGAGGGUGAUCGGCCACACUGGGACUGAGACACGGCCCAGACUCCUACGGGAGGCAGCAGUAGGGAAUCUUCGGCAAUGGACGAAAGUCUGACCGAGCAACGCCGCGUGAGUGAAGAAGGUUUUCGGAUCGUAAAGCUCUGUUGUAAGAGAAGAACGGGUGUGAGAGUAGAAAGUUCACACUGUGACGGUAGCUUACCAGAAAGGGACGGCUAACUACGUG
rnacentral:rRNA from 1 species